rnacentral:rRNA from 1 species
AUUGAACGCUGGCGGCAGGCCUAACACAUGCAAGUCGAACGGAACCUUCGGGUUUAGUGGCGAACGGGUGAGUAAUGCCUAGGAAUCUGCCUAUUAGUGGGGGAUAACGAAUCGAAAGGUUCGCUAAUACCGCAUACGUCCUACGGGAGAAAGAGGGGGAGUCUUCGGACCUCUUGCUAAUAGAUGAGCCUAGGUCGGAUUAGCUAGUUGGUGAGGUAAAGGCUCACCAAGGCGACGAUCUGUAGCUGGUCUGAGAGGAUGGCCAGCCACACUGGAACUGAGACACGGUCCAGACUCCUACGGGAGGCAGCAGUAAGGAAUAUUGGUCAAUGGAGGCAACUCUGAACCAGCCAUGCCGCGUGGAGGAUGAAGGUCCUCUGGAUUGUAAACUUCUUUUAUAUGGGACGAAAAAAGGACUUUUCUAAGUCGUCUGACGGUACCAUAUGAAUAAGCACCGGCUAACUCCGUG